CGGCGCACGGGUGCGGAACGCGUAUGGAACCUGCCCCUGUCAGGGGAAUAGCCCAGGGAAACUUGGAUUAAUGCCCCAUGGUACCGUUAUAUCGCAUGAUAUUUCGGUUAAAGAUUUAUCGGACAGGGAUGGCCAUGCGUACCAUUAGUUAGUUGGUGGGGUAACGGCCCACCAAGGCAGCGAUGGUUAGGGGCCCUGAGAGGGGGAUCCCCCACACUGGUACUGAGACACGGACCAGACUCCUACGGGAGGCAGCAGUGAGGAAUAUUGGACAAUGGGCGGGAGCCUGAUCCAGCCAUGCCGCGUGCAGGAUGACGGCCCUAUGGGUUGUAAACUGCUUUUAUACGGGAAGAAACGCACCUACGUGUAGGUGUCUGACGGUACCGUAAGAAUAAGGACCGGCUAACUCCGUGCCAGCAGCCGCGGUAAUACGGAGGGUCCGAGCGUUAUCCGGAAUCAUUGGGUUUAAAGGGUCCGUAGGCGGGCCUGUAAGUCAGGGGUGAAAGUUUGUGGCUCAACCAUAAAAUUGCCUUUGAUACUGCAGGUCUUGAGUCAUGGUGGGGUCGCCGGAACAUGUGGUGUAGCGGUGAAAUGCAUAGAUAUCACAUAGAACACCGAUCGCGAAGGCAGGUGACCAACCAUGUACUGACGCUGAUGGACGAAAGCGUGGGUAGCGAACGGGAUUAGAUACCCCGGUAGUCCACGCCGUAAACGAUGGAUACUAGCUGUGGGGACUUCGGUCUCCGUGGCCAAGCGAAAGUGAUAAGUAUCCCACCUGGGGAGUACGUUCGCAAGAAUGAAACUCAAAGGAAUUGACGGGGGCCCGCACAAGCGGUGGAGCAUGUGGUUUAAUUCGAUGAUACGCGAGGAACCUUACCAGGGCUUAAAUGCAGGCUGCAUGGGGUGGAGACACCCCUUUCUUCGGACUGCCUGCAAGGUGCUGCAUGGUUGUCGUCAGCUCGUGCCGUGAGGUGUCAGGUUAAGUCCUAUAACGAGCGCAACCCCUACCGUUAGUUGCCAGCAUGUAAAGAUGGGGACUCUAGCGGGACUGCCGGUGCAAACCGUGAGGAAGGUGGGGACGACGUCAAAUCAUCACGGCCCUUACGUCCUGGGCUACACACGUGCUACAAUGGCCGGUACAGAGGGAAGCCACCCCGCAAGGGGGCGCGGAUCUACAAAACCGGUCACAGUUCGGAUCGGGGUCUGCAACUCGACCCCGUGAAGCUGGAAUCGCUAGU
rnacentral:rRNA from 1 species